rnacentral:tRNA from 1 species
GGCUUUAUAGUCAACAAUGAUAUUAAAUUGCAAAUUUAAAGGAAAAUUUAUAUUUUAAAGCUU